UACCAAUUGUUGCCUCGGCGGAUCAGCCCGCUCCCGGUAAAACGGGACGGCCCGCCAGAGGACCCCUAAACUCUGUUUCUAUAUGUAACUUCUGAGUAAAACCAUAAAUAAAUCAAAACUUUCAACAACGGAUCUCUUGGUUCUGGCAUCGAUGAAGAACGCAGCAAAAUGCGAUAAGUAAUGUGAAUUGCAGAAUUCAGUGAAUCAUCGAAUCUUUGAACGCACAUUGCGCCCGCCAGUAUUCUGGCGGGCAUGCCUGUUCGAGCGUCAUUUCAACCCUCAAGCCCAGCUUGGUGUUGGGACUCGCGAGUCAAAUCGCGUUCCCCAAAUUGAUUGGCGGUCACGUCGAGCUUCCAUAGCGUAGUAGUAAAACCCUCGUUACUGGUAAUCGUCGCGGCCACGCCGUUAAACCCCAACUUCUGAAUGUUGACCUCGGAUCAGGUAGGAAUACCCGCUGAACUUAAGCAUAUC
rnacentral:rRNA from 1 species